rnacentral:lncRNA from 1 species
UGUAGUCUCCAUUUUAUGAACACAUGCUAUGUCUUCACCAAGGAUUACAACUAGAUUUCUGCUAGGGUUGCAUCCACUCUCCCGUGACCCAACUAUAUAUAAUGUGUUUAAAAUUAAUUUUUUUCUUACAAGGUCGAAUACCUCUUAGAAUGACUCAUGUACCUUCCGUUUUUUCAUCUUUGCAGCUUCUGUAUUCGGCGUCUCCGUCUGACAAGUCCUCCAAGAACAGCGGAGUGAGGUACAUGCGAAGGUAUUCCGACGCUCAAGUCAGUCUGAGUAUAAUAUGUGGAUAAACUAGGGAUCAGAAGAUUACCUCUGGCACAGGAUCCCUUAUAAUAUUUAUAGUCUUGUGUUGAACUUCAGCUGUUAUGGGCCUUCUUUUGGACCGCGCCAAAGGUCCAUUUGUGCUUUAAUCAUGGUUUAUGGUUAAACUGAUUUAUUAUGAUUAAUCACGGUUUAUCAUCUGCUUUCAUAUUCGUUUGGUCUUGUCGACUAUUCGACCUUUCGGUCUUCCAGUAGUAAAAAAUCCAUUCAUAUAAGAUAGAUAAUUAUUUUAAUUUAUUAUAUUAAGUAUGAAUAGAGCAAUAUAAAAAGAUGGAAUGUUCCAUAGAAAGUUGAAAAAGAAAAACAUGGUGUGUUUUGUUUAUAUGUUAGGGUUGAGAUAUAUUUGUGAAGAUCUUGGUGAUUUUCAUCCUAUCCAUGAGGAUUCAGUUACACUCAGAAGCCACAAGUGGUUAAUUUAACAAGUGAAAGAGUGAAAAGUUGGUUAAGUUGUGUAUAUAUAAUAUAUAGCCAC